rnacentral:rRNA from 1 species
UACGUAGGGUGCAAGCGUUAAUCGGAAUUACUGGGCGUAAAGCGUGCGCAGGCGGUUAUGCACGCCCGAUGUGAAAUCCCCGGGCUCAACCUGGGAACUGCAUUUGUGACUGCAUAGCUGGAGUGCGGCAGAGGGGGAUGGAAUUCCGCGUGUAGCAGUGAAAUGCGUAGAUAUCGGAAGGAACAUCAGUGGCGAAAGCGACUUCCUGGACCAGUACCGACGUUCAGGCACGAAAGCGUGGGGAGCAAACAGG